rnacentral:lncRNA from 1 species
ACAAACAUACGGAGGUAUAAGGCUCCAGAAAUAGAAAGACAAAAGUAAAUACAUUGGAAAUAGUCUACACCAUCCUUGUAGAAAUGUAAAAACCGAUAAUUUGCCGUCACUCAGUAAGUUGUAACUUGACCUCGGCUCAAAACCAUUCAACCACUCCAAAUAUGAUAUCCCAACUCCAUACUCCAAAAGGAACCAAACUGUGGAAACUAAACUAUAAAUGAAUAAAAAGAACCAAACUGUGAGAACUAAACUAUAGAUGAACAAAAUGAACCAAACUGUGGAAACUAAACUAUAGAUGAAC